AUGCCCUGAAAUACUGAUCCCUGAAUCAAAAACAGCGUCAAUGUGAAGUGCUGUUCUGUUGGUUUUUAGGAAUAAGUGGAAUUUAGAAUGCCACCCAAACAAUAAAGAGCCUAACUAUGAAAGCAUGUGUCUUGCUGUCAUAGAGAGACAGGGUUCUGUCUGCAUCCUCAGAUUUCUACACAAAUCACACCCUCAACUGCAGCCUCACAGGAAGAAGAGACAGGUGCUCACUGGAUCAGCAUCACAUGAGACCAAGGUCCUAAAAAAGGUGAAACAAAGAGAAACCAUUGUUAAAUGAUGAGAAUUAAACAUAGGAAUUUGUAAGUCAACUGAGAUUUCUUCAAGAGGUAAGGAAACUGAGGUUGAAAGAAAUUAAGUUAACUCUUUCAAGGUCACAUACCCAGUCCUGGAGCAGGUCAGGAUUCAACCCAGGAUUUGAGCACUCCAAAGGUAUCAUGGAUUCUUUGAAAACAGAAACAGGACUAAAAAGCACAGUGGAGAAGAAGCCUUCCAAGCUUGGCCAGUUUACUCCUCUUCCUUCCUCAGGCUGCACUUGGACCAUUUCUCACAGAUCCUGUUUGUAAAGAUACAAGCGAUGCUAGACUGACA